GAUCCACCGAGAUGUGAAGAGCAGCAACAUCCUUCUCAGAACCGAUGGCUCUGUCAAGCUGGCUGACUCUGGCCUCUUUGCUCAGCUCACCCCUGAGCAGAGUCGACGGAGCUCAGUGGCCAGCACUUCUGGGUGGAUGGCGCCUGAAGUGGUGACAGGUCAACCAUGUGGCCCCAAAGUGGACAUAUGGUCUUUUGGAAUCAUGGGCAUCGAAAUGGUGGAACGAGAAGUUCCUUACUGGAAUGAAACUCCUGUUUCGCACAUCAGCAUCUGCUGUCGAUUUGGUUGCAUCAGAAGGGAAGAGGAAGGUAACCAGUUCAGAAACCUAACCAGUUCAGAAACCUGCCAUUUUGGCCUCCAGCCAUGCCUGACACUUUUCACUUGCUUUUUGAACAAUGUUGGAGCUCUGUCUCUGAAGAAAAGGAAUUUUUUCCGUGGAAUGGUUGGAUGUGUGAUAAAUAUCCUUCAAAAUGGAGAUUGAAUCUUCCUAGUUUCAAUUUUAGAGAAAAAGAAAAAAGAGAAAAAGUAAAUGGAAAAGGAAGAGGAAGAGAAAAGGGAAAAGAAAAAAAGAAAAAGUAAGAGAAAAAUGGAAAGGAA